rnacentral:rRNA from 1 species
GACGAACGCUGGCGGCGUGCUUAACACAUGCAAGUCGAACGGAAAGGCCCUGCUUUUGUGGGGUGCUCGAGUGGCGAACGGGUGAGUAACACGUGAGUAACCUGCCCUGGACUUUGGGAUAACUUCAGGAAACUGGGGCUAAUACCGGAUAGGAGCUCCUGCGGCAUGGUGGGGGGUGGAAAGUUUCGGCGGUUGGGGAUGGACUCGCGGCUUAUCAGCUUGUUGGUGGGGUAGUGGCUUACCAAGGCUUUGACGGGUAGCCGGCCUGAGAGGGUGACCGGCCACAUUGGGACUGAGAUACGGCCCAGACUCCUACGGGAGGCAGCAGUGGGGAAUAUUGCACAAUGGGCGGAAGCCUGAUGCAGCAACGCCGCGUGCGGGAUGACGGCCUUCGGGUUGUAAACCGCUUUCGCCUGUGACGAAGCGUGAGUGACGGUAAUGGGUAAAGAAGCACCGGCUAACUACGUG